CCGUAGGGAGGCAGCAGUGGGGGAUAUUGCACAAUGGGGGGAACCCUGAUGCAGCGACGCCGCGUGGGUGAAGAAGGCUUUCGGGUUGUAAACUUCUUUUGACAGGGAAGAGUAGAAGACGGUACCUGUCGAAUAAGCCACGGCUAACUACGUGCCAGCAGCCGCGGUAAUACGUAGGUGGCAAGCGUUGUCCGGAUUUACUGGGUGUAAAGGGCGUGUAGCCGGGUUGACAAGUCAGAUGUGAAAUCCUGCGGCUUAACCGCAGAACUGCAUUUGAAACUGUUGAUCUUGAGUACUGGAGAGGCAGACGGAAUGCCUAGUGUAGCGGGGAAAUGCGUAGAUAUUAGGAGGAACACCAGUGGCGAAGGCGGUCUGCUGGACAGCAACUGACGGUGAGGCGCGAAAGCGUGGGGAGCAAACAGGAUUAGAUACCCUUGUAGUC
rnacentral:rRNA from 1 species